rnacentral:tRNA from 1 species
GGGCCUAUAGUUUCAAUGGUAAAACAUCUGUCUCCAAAACCGAGGUUGCAGGUUCGAGUCCUGCUGGGCCCGCCA